rnacentral:tRNA from 1 species
GCGGACGUGGCGAAGGGGUUAACGCACCGGAUUGUGGCUCCGGCAUUCGUGAGUUCGAUUCUCAUCGUCCGCCCCA